ensembl:misc_RNA Y_RNA Y RNA
GGCUGGUCCAAUGGCAGUGGGUUAUCAGAACUUAUUAACAUUAGUGUCACUAAAGUUGGUAUACCACCCCCCCCCACUGCUAAAUUUGACUGGCUUAAA